UUCUAUCAUAAAAACACCAAAAAGACUGAAAGUAAUGUAACGGAAAAUGAUCUUUGUCUGGUUGCUCUGCAGUGCUGAGAACUGAUAAUGUGCUUUUAUAUAGUGCAAAUCUUACUGUGAACAUCAUCCUUUUAAGCUCUUCGUUUGGCUUGUUCAGAAAAUCCAUAGUUUAAAGAAUUUUGGUAAAGUACAAUAUUUGCUGUUGCUGCAACUAAAAGAAAAAUGGUUAUAGGCUGCCACAUAUUUUCACCAUUUUUGUUUUUGGAUUUAUAAGCUGCCUUGUGAAUACAGACGGGCGUGACUUGGAUUUAUUCUUUCGAACAGUCUGCCUUUUUUUCUGAUGUCAUAAAGUGUUUUCACGUUUGCAAAAGAAUGACUUGAAUGAAUUACUUGUUUGAAAGUGUUGUAUGAAUACAGUGCAUUUGCAAUGAA